AGUUGGUGGGGUGACCCGUCUGGUUAAUUUCGAUAACGAACGAGAUCCGAGCUGUUUAGUUGGCCACAGUGACUUCGGUACACUGCGUGUCUCCUAUAUGGACUGUCAGUUUGAGGCUGAAGGAAGUUUCGGGCUAAAUCAGGU
rnacentral:rRNA from 1 species